CUUGCGGGUUUUAGUCCUCGUCACAAGCGUCGACCCACUGAGAGUGUAUGUGUACCGCGAUGGCCUUGUCAGAUUUGCUACUAAGAAGUUUACAACACGCGCCUUCGAUGAAACUAUCCAUCUCACUAACGUUGAAGUGAAUGAGAAAAACCCUGACUACAAACUACGUUACUCAAUGAAAACUGGACACAAAUGGUCAUUUAAUAAGCUAUGGGAGCAUUUGAAAACUAAAGAUGGAACCGACCACGAGCCGAUUUGGGAGAAGAUCAAAGACAUCACAUUAAAGACGAUAAUCAGCGGGGAACCAGAUAUGUUCGAAGGAGUACAGACGUACCUGCAGAGCAAAUACAGUGGACAUGAACUGUUCG